GAUGAACGCUGGCGGCGUGCCUAAUACAUGCAAGUCGAGCGAACAGACGAGAAGCUUGCUCCUCUGACGUUAGCGGCGGACGGGUGAGUAACACGUGGAUAACCUACCUAUAAGACUGGGAUAACUUCGGGAAACCGGAGCUAAUACCGGAUAAUAUAUUGAACCGCAUGGUUCAAUAGUGAAAGACGGUUUUGCUGUCACUUAUAGAUGGAUCCGCGCCGCAUUAGCUAGUUGGUAAGGUAACGGCUUACCAAGGCGACGAUGCGUAGCCGACCUGAGAGGGUGAUCGGCCACACUGGAACUGAGACACGGUCCAGACUCCUACGGGAGGCAGCAGUAGGGAAUCUUCCGCAAUGGGCGCAAGCCUGACGGAGCAACGCCGCGUGAGUGAUGAAGGUCUUCGGAUCGUAAAACUCUGUUAUUAGGGAAGAACAAAUGUGGAAGUAACUAUGCACGUCUUGACGGUACCUAAUCAGAAAGCCACGGCUAACUACGUG
rnacentral:rRNA from 1 species